rnacentral:lncRNA from 10 species
CUGAGCUGAGUGCAUGCCCUCAGCUCAGUGUUCCUUUUUCAGUAAGAGUAAGUUCCUUGAGUAAGUAGAAGCAACCCUGGGGGAGAUAUUACCUCAUCCCUCAGGGUUGCUUGCUGGAAACACAACUAUGAGAAAUUCAGACAAAGAGCAGUCAGAGCCUUGCAUUCUUGACAUACCCAUCAGGAGCAGUCUGGGCCACUGCAAUUCAGCUCUCCCAACAAUAUUCUGAAAGGCAGGCACUGUGUUGUAGGCAUUUCUGUACCCUCAGCACCUGACAUGAUGCAUGAUACACCUGAUUCCUUAGUGUUUGUGUGGCCCCAGAAGGCAGGAACCACUUCUGCUACAAGUUGGCAAACAAGCAUGCCUAGAAGAUUCAUAAUCAGCGCUGCAUGCAGAAGCUGCCCCAAGAUGAGUGGGAUCACACCCUGGAUGCCUAGGAAGCUUUCUGGCCCCAUGGAAAACCCUAACCAGGUCCUGCUGGGUCUGCAUGCCCUGGGUUAUGGCCACACAGACCCACAUUCUCUGUGACUGUCUACACAAGGAGGUGAAAUGCAUCAAGAAGGAAAACCACCUGACCAACUUCCAUAGGCCAAAAGACUCACCCUCCAACACAACUGGGAGCCUCACAGUGCAGUGCCCUGAGGCCUGGCUGCAGCUCCCAAGCCUUGGGGCUUCUGUCCAGGUGCCUGCCUCCAGCCCAAAGGCAGCUUCUUAACCAACCACAAACCUUCUCUGAAGCUGCAGA